ACCAAGAGCCGCCGCCCGCAGCCCGCGCCGGCUCAGCGCAGUCUCCUCGCUCGGUGCUCGCAGGUGCCUCCUCCUGGACGGCGGCAGCGGCGGCGCGAGGAGCCGGCAGGCAGCGGCGCGAUGGGGCCCCUCCGCGAGAGCAAGAAGGAGCACAGAGUGCAGCAUCAUGACAAGGAGAUUUCUCGAAGCCGAAUUCCCCGGUUGAUUCUUCGGCCCCAUAUGCCCCAACAACAGCACAAAGUGUCCCCAGCCUCUGAGUCUCCUUUCUCUGAGGAAGAGAGCAGAGAGUUCAACCCCAGCAGCUCUGGGCGCUCAGCGAGGACCGUUAGCAGCAACAGCUUCUGCUCAGAUGACACAGGCUGUCCUAGCAGCCAGUCAGUGUCUCCUGUGAAGACACCCUCAGACGCUGGAAACAGUCCCAUUGGCUUUUGCCCUGGAAGUGAUGAAGACUUCACCAGAAAGAAAUGCACGAUUGGAAUGGUUGGUGAAGGAAGCAUUCAGUCCUCUCGAUAUAAGAAGGAAUCAAAGUCAGGCCUUGUGAAACCAGGUCAGUGAACUUACUCGUCAUGUUUUCAUCA
rnacentral:sRNA from 1 species